rnacentral:tRNA from 1 species
GGCUCAGACGGUAAAAGCGUCUGUCUGCAAUGCAGGAGACCCGGGUUCGAUCCCUGG